rnacentral:rRNA from 1 species
UACGUAGGGUGCGAGCGUUGUCCGGAAUUACUGGGCGUAAGAGCUCGUAGGCGGUUUGUCGCGGUCGUCCGUGAAAACUUGGGGCUCAACCCCAAGCUUGCGGGCGAUACGGGCAGACUUGAGUACUGCAGGGGAGGACUGGAAUUCCUGGUGUAGCGGUGAAAUGCGCAGAUAUCAGGAGGAACACCGGUGGCGAAGGCGGGUCUCUGGGACGGUACUGACGCUGAGACGCGAAAGCGUGGGGAGCGAACAGG